ACAAGCGGUGGAGCGAUGUGGUUUUAAUUCGAAGCAACGCGCAGAACCUUACCAGCCUUUGACAUCCCGAUCGCGGAUUAGAGAGAUCUUUUCCUUCAGUUCGGCUGGAUCGGUGACAGGUGCUGCAUGGCUGUCGUCAGCUCGUGUCGUGAGAUGUUGGGUUAAGUCCCGCAACGAGCGCAACCCUCGUCCUUAGUUGCCAUCAUUUAGUUGGGCACUUUAAGGAAACUGCCGGUGAUAAGCCGGAGGAAGGUGGGGAUGACGUCAAGUCCUCAUGGCCCUUACAGGCUGGGCUACACACGUGCUACAAUGGCGAUGACAGUGGGCAGCAAACUCGCAAGGGUGAGCUAAUCUCCAAAAGUCGUCUCAGUUCGGAUUGCACUCUGCAGCUCGAGUGCAUGAAGGCGGAAUCGCUAGUAAUCGCGGAUCAGCAUGCCGCGGUGAAUACGUUCCCAGGCCUU
rnacentral:rRNA from 1 species